rnacentral:lncRNA from 1 species
UGAUAUUUUGUCCGCUCAGACUGUUGCGUGGUUUUGGACACUAUGCGUGUGUCGUUUUUUUUUUGGUGUGCACAGUAUUAGACACUGUUGCUUAUUUUGAUGCGGAAUGUAAUGAAAUCCAUUUGUGAAGUGUGAAAGUAAUGUGCCAAUGAAUAUUUGAAUUAUACAUUUUGUAAACUGUAUAUAAUGUACAUAGUUUCCUG